rnacentral:rRNA from 1 species
GACGAACGCUGGCGGCGUGCCUAAUACAUGCAAGUCGAACGCUUCUUUCCUCCCGAGUGCUUGCACUCAAUUGGAAAGAGGAGUGGCGGACGGGUGAGUAACACGUGGGUAACCUACCCAUCAGAGGGGGAUAACACUUGGAAACAGGUGCUAAUACCGCAUAAAAGUUUAUGCCGCAUGGCAUAAGAGUGAAAGGCGCUUUCGGGUGUCGCUGAUGGAUGGACCCGCGGUGCAUUAGCUAGUUGGUGAGGUAACGGCUCACCAAGGCCACGAUGCAUAGCCGACCUGAGAGGGUGAUCGGCCACACUGGGACUGAGACACGGCCCAGACUCCUACGGGAGGCAGCAGUAGGGAAUCUUCGGCAAUGGACGAAAGUCUGACCGAGCAACGCCGCGUGAGUGAAGAAGGUUUUCGGAUCGUAAAACUCUGUUGUUAGAGAAGAACAAGGACGUUAGUAACUGAACGUCCCCUGACGGUAUCUAACCAGAAAGCCACGGCUAACUACGUG